UUACCAAAAACAUAGGUUUCUGCUAAGUCGAAAGACUAUGUAUAGGAGCUGACGCCGGCCCGGUGCUGGAAGGUUAAGGGGAUCUGUUAGAGCAAUCGAAGGAGUGAACUUAAGCCCCAGUAAACGGCGGCCGUAACUAUAACGGUCCUAAGGUAGCGAAAUUCCUUGUCGGGUAAGUUCCGACCCGCACGAAAGGCGUAACGAUUUGGGCACUGUCUCAACAACAGACUCGGUGAAAUUGUAAUUCCGGUGAAGAUGCCGGAUACCUGCGACAGGACGGAAAGACCCCAUGGAGCUUUACUGUAGCUUGACAUUGGGUCUUGGUACUACAUGUACAGGAUAGGUGGGAGGCUUUGAAACCAGGACGCCAGUUUUGGCGGAGCCAUCCUUGGGAUACCACCCUUGUAGUACUGGGACUCUAACCAUAGGCCAUGAAUCUGGUCUUGGGACACUGUCAGGUGGGCAGUUUGACUGGGGCGGUCGCCUCCCAAAAGGUAACGGAGGCGCUCAAAGGUUCUCUCAGUACGGUCGGAAAUCGUACGUAGAGUGUAAAGGCAAAAGAGAGCUUGAUUGCAAGACAUACAGGUCGAGCAAGGAUGAAAAUCGGACUUAGUGAUCCGGUGGUUCUGCGUGGAAGGGCCAUCGCUCAACGGAUAAAAGCUACCCUGGGGAUAACAGGCUUAUCUCCCCCAAGAGUCCACAUCGACGGGGAGGUUUGGCACCUCGAUGUCGGCUCAUCACAUCCUGGGGCUGUAGUAGGUCCCAAGGGUUGGGCUGUUCGCCCAUUAAAGUGGUACGCGAGCUGGGUUCAGAACGUCGUGAGACAGUUCGGUCCCUAUCCGUCGCAGGCGUAGGAAAUUUGAGAAGACCUGUCCUUAGUACGAGAGGACCGGGAUGGACGUACCUCUGGUGUACCAGUUGUCCUGCCAAGGGCAUGGCUGGGUAGCUAUGUACGGAAUGGAUAAGCGCUGAAAGCAUCUAAGCGCGAAGCCAACUUCAAGAUAAGAUUUCCCACCGCAAGGGUAAGACCCCAGAAAGACUAUCUGGUUGAUAGGUCGAAGGUGUAAGUUCAGCAAUGUAUUUAGCUUAUCGAUACUAAUAGGUCGAGGACUUGACCAAU
rnacentral:rRNA from 1 species